rnacentral:lncRNA from 1 species
AUUGGAAAAUCACAUUGAUGGGAUAUGGAUGUGGAUUGGUUAUUGGGUUGUCUCUUGGGUGUCUUGUUUUCUUAACUGGGAAACCUGAAUGGUUGACAAGGAUGGUAGAAGAGAACAUUCACAAGACGAUCACAAGGUCUAAAAGAAGUACUCGCAGGAAAGGAGCAAGAAGAAAGUAGCAUAUUCCAACCGCAUUGUAUUUUGUGCUACAUAUUACAAAUGGAUUUUACAUUUGUUAGCAAAUAAUCUACUUGUUAUUAUAAAAGUGUAAUAUUGUUUGUAAAAUUAAAAUAAUGUUUUUUUUCCCUUUUUUUCUUUUUUGCAAUAGUCAUUGGGUUCAAUAUUUUUCCAAUCAACAUGAUAACUUAAAAUUCAUCAAAGAGCAAUUUUUAUAUCUUAGAGAUUAAUCAAACACUAACGGAUAUUAAAGACUUAGUAGGAAUUUGGACAUACUUCUAAUUUUUAUUCUUUUUAAAAAAGAAAACUUUUAUACAAGUAGAGACUUACAUUAUGUUUUCAUAACUACUUUUUAAUUUAUUUUUAUUUUUUAAAUUUAAGAACACAAUGUUUUUAAAAUUUUAAAAAAUCUUUUAGAAAAUAUAAGAUAAAUCUCCUCUCUUGCUAAAAAAAAUGACUAGAUUUUAUAGAAGAGUUUAAAAACAAAAGACAAAAGACAAAAAGUGUUUCCAAACACCACUUUUUUUUUUCCCGAUAAUUCAUACUUUAUUAUUAUAUAGGGAAAGAUCAAUAAUAUGUUUAUAUUAAAUAUAUAUGGGUAUAUUAUAACAACUAGUAUUUUAUUUGAUUAAAACAUGUGUAGGAGCCACGACCGGGCCAAGUUCAAACCACGACAAGGCAUAACCAUUGCAACCAAAGCUCAAUUGGUAUUUCAUUUUUCAAAUAUAUGUUUUUCAGAAAUGUCAACUUGCUAUCUUUUCAUUUGAAAGAAUAUCAUUGUUAGUGAUCUAUGUUAAAUAUUUAAAUCAAUUCUAUAAUUGCUAUAGAUAUUUGAAGAAAAAAAACAUAAAUAAAUUAUAUAAUUUAACAUUUUUCAAUCAAUCUGACUUUAAUAAAUAAGGUUGAAGAUAAUAUUCAUUCAUUUUAUAUUUAUCUCUUACCAUUUUAAAAUAUUAAUAUUUAUUUUAAAAAUGUUAGUAUGCAUUAUAAUUUUUUAAAACAGUAUUAUUGAUUUUAAUAAAAAAAAUCUAAAUUCUAAUAUUCAUUUUUAAAAGUUGGUGAUUUCGGAAAUUUGUUUGUAAUAUUCAUGAAUUUAUACUCCUAUCUUUUUCUCAAAAUAAAUAACUAAAUAUUAUUAAUUUAUUAUGAAUAGUGUGAUUUUUAAAAUAUAAUAUUUGAUUAUUUAAUAAAAAUGUUGUUAUUUACCAUAACUUUUUAUUAAAAAAAUUAUUAUUUAUUAUUAAUUUGAAGAAAUAAAAUUUUAAUAUUUAUUUUAAUAAAAAAACCCAAUGAUAUUUUGUGGCCUUAUAAUAAUAAAGUUUAUUUUUAUUUUCACUUUCUAUUUAAAUAAUUAUUUAAAAAAUCUGAAACUAAAAUCAUAAAUAAAAUAAAAAAAUUGAAUCCAUUUUCAUUCACAUUUUUAUUUUAAUAUGUAUAGAAAUUUAAUCUAAUAAAAUUAAUUUUCAACAUUUAUUUUUAUUAUAUGAAAAGUCAAGUGAUCACCAUAUCUCUUUUAUUUAUUAUUAAACUCAGCUUCAAUUGUAAAUUUUAAAAAACAACCAAAUGUAUACAAUCUUGAGUAGGUCCACACUACUGCCACAUGCUUUAUUUUCAUUUUUUUAAAAAAUUUAUUUACUUCCACUAUUUUUUUUUAAUAAAUAAAUAAAUAUUAAUAUUUCUUAUUUGUGUGUUGGUUGUGAUUAAAUCUAUAGGUAGUUCGCAUUUUCUAAUUUUGAUUAGAUUUAUAAGACGAAAACAAACGCAUUUGGAUUGAGCAAGUUUGAGGAGAUAGGUGGAUUUGGGCCUAGAACAUGAUUCGAAGCUCAGUCCAGCCCAAACUGCACAUGUCUUAUUGGGUCUCAAUUUGGGCCUAUUGAGUUGACCUGGGCCAACCCGAUUCAAUUCAUAGUUGUAAUUGGCAUUAAACAAGGUUUAAUUUAUAAUUAAAUAUAAUAAAUAUAAGAGAAAAAAAUUUAAAAAAAUUAUUUUUUCAUGUUUGUUUAUUAUAAAAAAUAUAUAAGAGAAAAUAAAUAUAAUUAAAAUUAAUUAUAGAUUUAUUUAUUUUUAAAUCAUUUAAUCUUUAUAUAGAAGGAAAAAAAAAGUGAAAUGAGUUUAAAAAAGAAUAUAAAAAUAAUUUAUCAUAUUUAAAACUAUUUUUAAAAUUUUCUAUCAUUUUUUUUUUUUUUUAUCUCUUUUCAUUUUCUUACCUUGAUAUUUUUUCAAGAUAUUUCCUUUAUCAUUUUUCAUUAUUGACGGCAAAUCAAUGGUUGAUGCUUCAACACGGUUUUGUGGAAAGAUGAUCAAGAAGAAGACAUGGCAAAUCUGAAAAAGAUACUCCACUUCUUUCAAAUGACAAUUUUGUUUUUUUAUUCCUUUUUUAUUUAUCAUACUUUCUUUACUAAUAUAUCACUUUUCAAAGAAAAUAGUUAAUUUACACUAAUUACUUUUUAACUAUAUCCUCUUAUCAAUAAAGUGACAACAAUCUAUAUAAUUGUUUCUAGAUUUAGAACCUGUUUGAUAGUUAUUUUAAGAAUCUCUUUUAAUAUUUUUAUUAGUUAAAAAUUUUUAUCAUUCAAAUAUUAAAAAUGUUAAAAAAACUUUCUAAAAUAACUUCAAAAUGGGUUCUUAUUGGUCACAUUAUUUAUUUGACUAGAGGCCACAAGUACAAUAGUGUAAACUAACAAUGUCAUUAAUUAGGAUAUUUUGGAAUAACUAAAAUCCUUAAUCUAAUUUUUCAUGGAUUUUUUAUGGCCUUAAGAGGGAAUUGAUUGGUUAAGGAUUCAUAAGUUUACUAUUAAUGUAAUUUAGUAGCUAAUCACUAUCUUUAAGUUAAUAUAUAUAAAUUUUCUUUUAAAUUAAUUAUUUAGAAGACUCAAUUGAUAAUUUUGGAGGAUGAUUUAUUUAUUUAUUACAAAAGAUGCUUUAGAAAAAAAAUAUCUUUAUCGUGUUGCAAACUCUUAGAUAGUAUUGUCAUUUUAUUGAUUUAUAGAAGUCAAAGUCAAGAAACAUGUUUCAUCAAGUAAUUUAUUUUGUUUGUUUAAGAAGUUUCAAAGAAUCAAAGAAAAGAAAAAAAAAAAGUCAAAAAGCAAUGGUUGAAAAAUGAGAGAAGGGAAGUUUCUAUGAAUUUAUGAUUUAUAGAAAAGAAGGUCCCCACACGGUUUUAUUUAUGGUGGGUGCUAGUGCUAAUAAUAUUAUGAUUUUAAAUAGAAAAGAAAUAAAUUUAUGAUUAAUAAGUUUGUUCACACAUUUUUUAAAAUUUAUUUUUCUUCUUUUUUAUGUUUCACAAAAAAUAAAUUUUUUGAAAAGAUAUAAAUAUUUUAAUAAUUUGAAUUAUUAUUUUUCUUUGCAAUUUUAAAUUAUAUCAAAUAAUUAAUAUUAAAUUUCUUUUUAUUUUAAUUUUAAUCUUUUUAAUAUUUUCUUUGAUCCGAAGGCGUAAUUUCAUUUUCAAACUUUUUACGCAAAUAAUAUUACCAAAAAUCUUGUGAUAUUCUACAAUUAGUAAUACUAACUUACAAGGCAUAAAUUAUUAUUUUUUACUAAAUAAUUAUUACAAAAAGAGAAAAAUAAAAUUUAAAAUAUUUUAUUUUACAAUAAAGGCGAAUAAAAGAAAAUGGUAACCAUAUCAAUAUUUCAUGUUUCAUGUGUUUAUAUGGAUAGGUAAAAUAAAAUAAAAUAAAAUAAAUAUAAUUUCCUGCCCAUUUCCUUGCUUUUUCAUCUACUAUUGGUGGUCAAAGUUAUAAAUAUUUGUAUUUAUUUUUAUAAUUUUUAGAUAACAAGAGAAAAGAAGAAUAUAAAAAUAAUUUAUCACCUUUAAAUUUAUUUUCUUAUUUUAAUUUUAUGUCAUUUCUUAUUUUCUUUUAUUUUUCUUAGUAUUUUCUUUAAUACUUUUUAUAAACCAAACACAAACCUAAAAAAUAUUUUUAAAAUUUUUUAUUUUUUUAUUUAAACCAAAAAAUAAAAAUAUGUUUUUUAUUUCUCUUUUAUAAUAAAUAAAAUGAUUAGAAAAUCAAGCGCAUUGGUUUGAGUUUCCCCUUUCAUUUAUUUGAUCAAUAAAAUUCUACUUUAACUUUGCAAAUCCAGCCAUGACCAGUCAUAGAAGUCAAGCUCUUUGGGUCCUAGUAAUUGGCAUGCGGGAAAGAAAUUUCAACUGUGCCCAUCUCAUGCUCCUCUAUUCUAUUUUCUCCCAAGUUAUUAAUUUCCUCAUCUUUCUCUAAUUCCGCGAAAGGGUGCCUCAUUACCGAAGACUUGACUUCUUGUGGGCCAGCUUAAGAAAUCAUUUUUCAUUAGUGACCCUAAGUCAAUGGUUCAGGCUUUCUCAUGAUGAAACAUGUCUCAUCAUGUAAUUUAUUUUGAACCACAUUUUACAUAAUCAAUUUAAAAAAUUAGUAUAAUUACUUUAAUCCAUUCAUGACUUAAUUAAGGGGUUUUAGGAAUAAUAUCAGUACGUAGCUUUAAUUUGUUAAUUCUUGGAAUGUGGAAUUUUACCUUUUAUAAUAAUUUUGUUUAUGAAAUUUAUUUAUUAAUUUUUAAAAAGACUAAUAAGAAAUCUUUCUUUUUGCUUUCUUUGUUAUGAAGGCCAGUGUGCCCUGAAACCAAGUGCUCUGGUUUCAUUUCUCUUAUUUAUAAAAUUUCAUUUUUGUACUUCAAAUCUACAGGAUGUAUUUUGAUUUUAUUUUAUAGUCCCAAUCUAUACCAGUGCUGAUAAAAUAUAAUAAUUAAAACUCUAAUGAGCUGGAAACUGUAACAACAAAGGUCUUCUUUUGAUUGUUCCUGUUUAAGCUGGAAAUUUCCGAGAAGACAUUUGUUUAAGAUUUGUUAAAGUUAUUUUAAGUAGAUUAAGGAAAGUCAAUAAACUCAACUUAAAUUCAUAUUCAAUACCUAAUUUAUUUCAUUUAAUUGUGUUACUUUACUUUCAACAACACUUUACUUCCAACAAAAAGUAAAAAUACACAAAAUAAAAGUAAAAGUACUUUACUUUCAACAAAAAGAAUAAUGUUGUUACUAAAAUUUAUUUCAUUUCAUUUUGUUAAUGAGAUUAGGUCAUGAAAAUGUCGAAAAAUAAAAUAAAAUAAAAUGGUAGUUAUGAAAUUUUUUUUUUUAAAUUGAGUUGGAAGUUUCAACUUUCUCCGUUACAAACUAUUAGAAUUGAAUAUCAUUUUUAAAACUUAAAUUAAUUCAUAUUUUAUUUUUUCUGUUCUUUGGUUAUGUCUAAUGAUCAUAUAUGAAAAAUUGUAUAUAAUUAAAUUAUAUAAUUAUCAUAUAUAAAAUUUAAAAUUUGUUUUAUGAAAAAAAAUUAUUUAUAUUUAUAUCAAAAGACUUUCUAAGAAGUUUUAACAAGAAAAGUCUUCUCUAGUCCUCCAUUUGAGUUGGAAAUUUCCAAGAAAUUUUCCAUAAUGAAGAAGAGAAGGGUAAAGUUAGAGUGAAUCAUUUUCAUAUAAAGUGGAGAAUCCUCAUCACCAUUUCUCUCAUCCCACCUCACCCUCUCAAUUGCUUUUGGGAAGAAUGAUGUCUAAACGCCUCCUCCUCUAUUUUCUUUUCUUCCUCUCAUCCUCUCAGCUUCUUUCCUCCUCUUUCUCUUUCUCUAAUUCCACCAAACUAUGCCCGCAUCAGCAGGCUCUUGCUCUGCUCCACCUUAAGCAAUCCUUUUCUAUUGAUAAUUCCAGUUCUUGGGAUUGUGAUUCCAAUGGCAUCACUUCUUAUCCUAAAACAGAGUCUUGGAAGAAGGGUAGUGAUUGUUGCUCAUGGGAUGGGGUCACAUGUGAUUGGGUGACAGGCCAUAUAAUUGGGCUGGACCUCAGUUGCAGCUGGCUCUUUGGCAUCAUCCAUUCCAAUAGUACCCUCUUCCUCUUUCCUCACCUGCGAAGGCUCAACCUUGCUUCCAAUGACUUCAGUGGGUCCUCUGUUUCAGUUGGGUUUGGUCGCUUCUCAAGCUUGACGCAUCUCAAUCUCUCUGACUCUGGAUUUUCAGGCCUAAUUUCAUCAGAAAUCUCUCACCUCUCCAACUUGGUUUCACUUGAUCUUUCUUGGAAUUCUGAUGCAGAAUUUGCCCCGCAUGGCUUCAAUUCUCUGGUUCAAAAUUUAACCAAAUUGCAGAAGCUUCACCUUAGAGGUAUUUCCAUCUCUUCAGUUUUUCCUGAUUCCUUGCUAAAUCGGUCUUCUUUAAUAUCAUUAGAUCUCUCUUCAUGCGGAUUGCAUGGGAGAUUCCCUGACCAUGACAUUCAUUUUCCGAAACUCGAGGUUCUCGACUUACAAGGAAAUAAUGAUCUCAGUGGAAACUUCCCACGAUUCAGUGAGAACAAUUCCCUCAUGGAAUUGUAUUUAUCAUCCAAAAAUUUCAGUGGAGAGCUUCCUGCUUCAAUUGGAAAUCUAAAGUCUUUGCAGACUUUGUAUAUCUCCAAUUGCGAAUUCUCAGGGUCCAUCCCCGCUUCCCUAGAGAACCUUACACAAAUCACUUCCUUGAACCUCGAUGAGAAUCUUUUUAGUGGUAAAAUUCCAAAUGUUUUUAGUAACCUUAGAAAUUUAAUUUCAUUACACCUUCAUGGCAACAAUUUCAGUGGUCAGCUUCCAUCAUCAAUUGGAAAUCUAACAAACCUUCAGGGCUUAAACUUGUAUGAUAAUCAGCUAGAAGGAGUCAUUCCUUCUUUUGUAAAUGGGUUUUUAAGUCUAUCCUAUGUCGACUUAGGAUAUAACUUAUUCAAUGGGAUAAUACCAUCUUGGUUGUAUGCUCUACCAUCAUUGGUGGUAUUAUAUCUCGAUCAUAACAAACUCACUGGUCAUAUUGGUGAAUUCCAAUCUGAUUCAUUGGAGUUGAUUUGUUUGAAAAUGAAUAAGUUACAUGGGCCAAUUCCAAGUUCAAUAUUUAAGCUUGUAAACCUUAGAUAUCUUCAUCUUUCUUCAAAUAACUUGAGUGGUGUUUUGGAGACAAGCAACUUUGGAAAACUUAGAAACCUCACUUCGCUUGAUCUCUCAAACAACAUGCUCUCAUCGAUCACCUCUAGCAAUUCCAACUCCAUUUUACCCAGCAUUCAAAGGCUAGACUUUUCAAACAAUAACAUUAGUGGAGUAUGGUCAUGGAAUAUGGGAAAGAAUACACUGCAGUACUUGAAUCUCUCUUAUAACUCAAUAAGUGGGUUUGAGAUGCUCCCAUGGGAAAAUUUAUAUACUCUAGAUCUUCAUUCCAACUUGUUGCAAGGACCACUUCCAACUCUUCCAAAUUCUACAUUUUUCUUUUCAGUAUCCCAUAACAAAUUGAGUGGAGAAAUCUCAUCGUUGAUUUGCAAAGCGAGUUCCAUGAGAAUUUUUGAUUUGUCUAAUAACAACUUGAGUGGCGUGCUUCCUCAUUGUUUGGGGAAUUUUAGCAAAGAUCUUUUUGUUUUGAAUUUACGAAGGAAUCAAUUUCAUGGCAUCAUUCCUCAAACAUUUUUAAAGGGCAAUGCUAUCAGGAAUCUUGACUUCAACGAUAAUCAAUUGGAAGGCCCAGUACCUCGAUCUUUGAUCAUUUGUAGAAAACUUGAAGUUCUAGACCUUGGGAAUAAUAAGAUAAAUGAUACAUUUCCCCAUUGGUUGGGAACUCUUCCAGAGUUGCAAGUUCUUGUUUUGCGCUCUAAUAGUUUCCAUGGUCAUAUAGGGCGUUCCAAGAUCAAAUCCCCAUUCAUGAGCCUAAGAAUCAUUGAUCUUGCUCACAAUGAUUUCGAGGGUGAUUUGCCUGAAAUGUAUUUGAGAAGUUUGAAAGCAAUAAUGAAUAUAGAUGAAGGCAACAUGACAAGAAAAUAUAUGGGGGAAGAGUAUUAUCAAGAUUCCAUAGUGGUGACAAUCAAAAGGUUAGAGAUUGAAUUUGUGAAAAUCUUGAAUACUUUCACAACAAUUGAUUUAUCAAGCAAUAAAUUCCAAGGAGAGAUUCCCAAGUCCAUUGGAAAUCUUAAUUCACUUCGAGGGCUCAAUUUGUCUCAUAACAACCUUGCAGGACAUAUCCCAUCAUCUUUUGGGAAUUUGAAGUUGCUUGAAUCAUUAGACCUCUCUUCAAACAAGCUCAUUGGGAGAAUUCCUCAAGAAUUAACGAGUUUGACAUUUCUCGAAGUUUUGAAUCUUUCCCAAAACCAUCUUACUGGAUUUAUACCUCAAGGUAAUCAGUUUGACACUUUUGGAAAUGAUUCAUACAAUGAGAACUCAGGGUUGUGUGGAUUUCCAUUGUCAAAGAAAUGCAUAAUUGAUGAAACACCAGAGUCUUCAAAGGAAACGGAUGCAGAGUUUGAUGGUGGAUUUGAUUGGAAAAUCACAUUGAUGGGAUAUGGAUGUGGAUUGAUAAUUGGGUUAUCUCUUGGGUGUCUCAUUUUCUUAACUGGGAAACCUAAAUGGUUGACAACGAUGGUCGAAGAGAACAUUCACAAGAAGAUCACAAGGUCUAAAAAAGGUACUUGUAGAAGAGGAGCAAGAAGAAAGUAGCAUAUUCCAACCGCAUUGUAUUUUGUGCUACAUAUUAUAAAUGGAUUUUACAUUUGUUAGCAAAUAAUCUACUUGUUAUUAUAAAGUGUAAUAUUGUUUGUAAAAUAAAAUUAAUGUUUUUUUCUUUUUCCUUUUUUUUUUUUGUGACAAUGCAACAGUCAUUAGGUUCAAUAUUUUUCCAAUCAACAUGAUAACUUAAAAUUCAUCAAAUAGCAAUUUCUCUAUCUUAGAAAUUAAUCAAACACUAAUGGAUAUUAAAGACUUAGUAGGAAUUUGGACAUACUUCUAAUUUUUAUUCUUUUAAAAAACCAAAACUUUUAUACCAGUAGGGACUUACAUUAUGUUUUCAAAACUAUUUUUUAAUUAUUAUUAUUUUUUAAAUUUAAGAACACAAAGUUUUUAAAAUUUUAAAAAAUCUUUUAGAAAAUAUAAUAAAUCUCCUCUCUUGCUAAAAAAAAUGAUGAGAUUUUAUAGAAGAGUUUAAAAACAAAAAACAAAAGACAAAAAGUGUUUCCAAACACCACCUUUUUUCAAUAAUUCAUACUUUAUUAUUAUAUAGGGAAAGAACAAUAAUUUGUUUAUAUUAAAUAUGUAUGGGUAUAUUAUAACAACUAGUAUUUUAUUUGAUUAAAACAUGUGUAGUAGCCGAGACCAGGCCAAGUUUAGAUCACGACAAGGCAUAACCAUUGCAACCAAAGCUCAAUUGGUAUUUCAUUGGAAAUCAUUUUUCAAAUAUAUGUUAUUGAGAAAUGUCAACUAUCACAUUAUGGAAAAGAAGAAUUUACGAAAGGACCAUUUGAUAUCUUUUCAUUUGAAAGAAUAUCAUUGUUAGUGAUCUAUGUUAAAAAAUUUGAAUCAAUUCUAUAAUUUCUAUAUAUAUUUGAAGAAAAAAACAUAAAUAAAUUAUAUAAUUUAACAUUUUUCAAUCAAUCUGACUUUAAUAAAUAAGGUUGAAGAUAGUGCACAAAAUCAAUAAAGAAAAAGCAUUUUUUUUAUAAUUAUUCAUUUAAACAAACUAAUAUUCAUUCAUAUUAUAUUUAUCUCUUACCAUUUUAAAAUAUUAAUAUUUAUUUUAAAAAUAUUAGUAUGCAUUAUAAUUUUUUAAAACAUAAAUUCUAAUAUUCAUUUUUAAAAGUUGGUGAUUUCGGAAAUUUGUUUCUAAUAUUCAUGAAUUUAUACUCGUAUCUUUUUCUCAAAAUAAAUAAAUAAAUGUUAUUAAUUUGUUAUGAAUAGUGUGAUUUUUAAAAUAUAAUACUUGAUUAUUUAAUAAAAAUGUUGUUAUUUAUCAUAACUUUUUAGAAAUGUAUUAUUUAUUAUUAAUUCGAAGAAAUAAAAUUUUAAUAUUUAUUUUGAUAAAAAAAAACCCAAUGAUAUUUUGUGGCCUUAUAAUAAUAAAGUUUAUUUUUAUUUUCACUUUCUAUUUAAAUAAUUAUUUAAAAAAUCUGAAACUAAAAUCAUUGCCACGUAGGUUGCAACAUAAAUGCAUGAUAGAUCAUAGAUGUAAUAACUUGGCAGUAAUAGGAAGCAUGUAUUGGAAUAUUAUACUCAUUUAAAAAUAUUAUUUUCACUCAUAAAACAAGUAAACCUAUCCUUAAAAAAAAAAAAUUAAUAUCUUUACUAUUAAGAUAUUGAUAACAAAUUUUAUUUUGUAAAUAAAAUAAAAAAAUUGAAUCCAUUUUCAUUCACAUUUUUAUUUUAAUAUGUAUAGAAAUUUAAUCUAAUAAAAUUAAUUUUCAACAUUUAUUUUUAUUAUAUAAAAAGUUAACUGAUCACCAUAUCUCUUUUAUUUAUUAUUAAACUCAGCUUCAAUUGUAAAUUUAAAAAAAAGGCCAAAAGUAUACAAUCUUGAGUGGGGUCCACACUACUGCCACAUGCUUUAUUUUCAUUUUUUUUUUAAAUUUAUUUACUUCCACUAUUUUUUUAAUAAAUAAAUAAAUAUUAAUAUUUCUUAUUUGUGCGUUCGUUGUGAUUAAAUCUACAGGUAGUUCGCAUUUUCUAAUUUUGACUAGAUUUAUAAGACGAAAACAAACGCAUUUGGAUGGAGAAAGUUUGAGGAGAUAGGUGGAUUUGGGCCUUCUCAAAUUUAGAUUUGGGCCUAGAACAUGAUUCAAAGCUCAGUCCAGCCCAAACGGCACACGUCUUAUUGGGUCUCAAUUUGGGCCUAUUGAGUUGACCUGGGCCAACCCAAUUCAAUUCAUAGUUGUAAUGGGCAUUAAACAAGGUUUAAUUUAUAAUUAAAGAUAAUAAAUAUAAGAGAAAAAAUGUUAAAAAAAAAGUGAAAUGAGUUUAAAAAAGAAUAUAAAAAUAAUUUAUCACAUUCAAAACUAUUUUUUAAAUUUUCUAUCAUUUUUAUUUUAUCUCUUUUCAUUUUCUUUCUUGGUAUUUUCUUUAAUACUUUUUAGAAACAAACACCCUAAAACUUGUUUUUUUUUUUUUUUAUUUAAAUCAAAAAAGAAAAGUAUGUUAUUAUUUGUCUUUUCAUUUCUCUAAUUCAUAGGAGAUUAUUAUUCUACUCAAAACUUUUAAAUUCAGCCUUGACUCUAGUGAGUCAUAGAAGUCAAUCCCUUUGGGUCAUAGUAAAUUAGUAAUUGAUAUGCAGGACAUUCAUUAUCUUUGUCUAAUUCCACAAAAUCGUGCCUCAUUACCAGAGCCUUGUUGUGGCCCAGUUUAAGAAAUCAUUUUUCUUUAUUGACGCCAAGUCAAUGGUUGAUGCUUCCACACGGUUUUGUGGAAAGAUGAUUAAGAAGAAGACAUGGCAAAUCUGAAAAAGAUACUCCACUUCUUUCAAAUGACAAUUUUGUUUUUUAUUCCUUUUUUAUUUAUCAUACUUUCUUUACCAAUAUAUCACUUUUCAAAGAAAAUAAUUAAUUUACACUAAUUAUUUUUUAAUUAUAUCCUUUAAUCACUAAAGUGGCAACAAUUUAUAUACUUGUUUCCACAUUUAGAACCCGUUUGAUAGUGAUUUUAAAAAACAUUUUUAAUAUUUUUAUUAUUUGAAAGUGUUAAAAAUAUUAAAAACAUUUUCUAAAAUAACUCCCAAAUGGGUUAUUACUGGUCACAUUAUUUAUUUGGCUAGAGGCCACAAGUACAAUAGUGUAAACUAACAAUAUCAUUAAUUAUGAUAUUUUUGAGUAACUAAAAUCCUUAAUCUAAUUUUUCAUGAAUUUUUUAUGAUCUUAAGAGGGAAUCGAUUGGUUAGAGUUUCAUAAGUUUACUAUUAAUGUAAUUAGUAGCCAAUCGCUAUCUUUAAGUUAAUAGAUAUAAAUUUUCUCUUUAAAUUAAUUAUUUAGAAGAAUCAAUUGAUAAUUUUGGAAGAUGAUUUAUUUAUUUAUUACAAAAGAUGCUUUAGAAAAAAAAAUAUUUUUAUAGUGGUACAAACUGUUAUCAUUCUAUUGAUUCAUAGAAGUCAAAGUCAAGAAACGUGAAAAAUAAGAGAAGGGAAAUUUCUAUGCAUUCAUGAUUCAUAGAAAAGAAGGUUAAAAGGCAAAUGAUUGAAAAAUGAAAGAAGGGAAGUUUAUAUGAAUUUAUGAUUCAUAGAAAAGAAGUCCCCACACGGUUUUAUUUAUGGUGGGUGUCUAUGUUAAUAAUAUUAUGGUUUUAAAUAAAAAAAGAAAUAAAUUUAUGAUUAAUAAGUUUGUUCACAUAUUUUUCAAAAUUUGUUUUUCUUCUUUUUUACCUUUCAAAAAAAAUGAAAAUUUUGGAAAGAUAGGAAUAUUUUAAUAAUUUGAAUUGUUUUUUUUUUUUUGCAAUUUUAAAUUAAACUAAAUAAUUAAUAUUAAAUUUCCUUUUGUUUUAAUUUUAAUCUUUUUAAUGUUUUCUUUGAUCCCAAGGGUAAUUUCAUUUUCAAACUUUUUAUACAAAUAAUACUACCAAAAAAUCUUGUGAUAUUCUACAAUUAGUAAUACUAACUUAGAAGACAAAAAUUAUUUUCUUUUACCAUUUAAUUAUUACCAUAGGAUGGUAUUAAAUUUAAAAGGAAUAAAGAAAAGAGAAAAAUAAAAUUAAAAAUAUUUUAUUUUACAAUAAAGGUGAAUAAAAAAAUAAAAUAAAAAAUAAAUAUAAUUUCCUGCUCAUUUCCUUGCUUUUUCAUCUACUAUUGGUGGUCAAAGUUAUAAAUAUUUGUAUUUGUUUUUACGAUUUUUAGAUAACCGAGAAAAAAAGAAUAUUAAAUUAAUUUAUCACCUUUAAAUUUAUUUUCUUUUUUUAAUUUUAUGUCAUUUCUUAUUUCCUUUUAUUUUUCUUAGUAUUUUCUUUAAUACUUUUUAUAAACCAAACACAACCUAAAAAUUAUUUUAAAAAAUAUUUAUUUUUUUAUUUAAGCCAAAAAAUAAAAAUAUGUUUUUUAUUUCUCUUUUAUGAUAAACAAAAUGGUUAGAAAACCGAGCGCUUUGGUUUGAGUUUCCCCCUUUCAUUUAUUUGAUCAAUAAAACAUUAUUAUUCUACUUUAAACUUGUAAAUUCAGCCAUGACUACACAGAGAAAUUCAAACUGUGCCCUCUCAUGCUCCUCUAUUAUAUUUUCUCCCAAGUUAUUAAUUCUCUCAUCUUUCUCUAAUACCGGAGACUUGACUUCUUGUGGGCCAGCUUAAGAAAUCAUUUUUCAUUGUUGACCCUAAGUCAAUGGUUCAUGCUUUCUCAUGAACCUUUUUGUUUUACUUUAAUAUUAUAAAAAAAGGUGGGUGGCUUUCACACGAUUUUGUGAAAGAUGAUCAAAACAUGAUUAUUCUAACUUGGAAUCAUUUGCAUAUAAAUUAGAGUGCACUUGUCAUCAUUUCUCUCAUUUCAUAUGAGCUAGUAGCCCAAAUGGUACCAGGAGGGUAACCAAAAAGACCUUAAUCUUGAGUUCGAAUCCUAAGGAGGCCACUCUGGAUCGCUUUGGCACCAGAGCCAAAAAUCUCAGCCGCCGUAUUGGCUCUUCAGCCUAGGCACCAAGAUACAAAUGUACAAAUUUGUACCAACAAUUAUCUUUAAGUUGAUAGAUAUAAAAUUUUCUUUUAAUUAAUUACUUAGAAGACUUAGUAGGAGGAUGAUUUGUGGUUUUUAUUUUUAAUUGGCAAAAGAUUCUUUAUAAAGAAAAUUUAUUUUCCGUGUUGCAAACUCCUUGUUUGUGACUUCUUGACUCAUAGAAGUCAAAGUCAAGAAACAUGUUUCAUUAAGUUAUUUAUUUUAAAUUACAAUCUACCUAAUCAAUUUGAAAAAUUAGUAUCACUUUAAUCUCUUUAUGGUUUAAUUGAAGGAUUCAAGAAAUAGAUUAUGAGAAACAUGUUUCAUCAAGUUAUUUAUUUUAAACUACAAUCUACCUAAUCAAUUUGAAAAAUUAGUAUCACUUUAAUCUCUUUAUGGUUUAAUUGAAGGAUUCAAGAAAUAGAUUAUGAGAAACAUCUUUCAUCAAGUUAUUUAUUUUAAACUACAAUCUACCUAAUCAAUUUGAAAAAUUAGUAUCACUUUAAUCUCUUUAUGGUUUAAUUGAAGGAUUCAAGAAAUAGAUUAUGAUGGCUGUAAAGGCAAUAUCUCAUUUUUCUAACCUUAUGUUAAGAUCAAGUAAGUGAUUUAGAUUUGAGUUCACUCAUAUGAUUCAAAAUCCAUCACCAAUAUUUUUUUUAGAAAAUAAUUUCUAUAUAUUUGUACCAAAAUUUAGAUAGUAAAUGAGAUAAAAUUUCAAGAUAAUAACAAAAAUAGAUAAAUUUAUGUAUUUUUAAAAAAUAAAAAAUAUAUAUGAUAUAAUUAUAAUAUGAUAUUUUCCUUAAAAAAUCUAAAAAUAAUAUUAUUAUUAUAUAGGAUAAUAUAGGUUACAAAUAUUAUAAAAAUAUUAAAUCAAGUUUGAGUUAAAUUAGAAUCUUUGUCCAGGUCUAACCCAAAUUAAAUAUAGAAAAAAAAACCUUAACUUAAACCCUGAUAUUGAUAUUUAAUUUCAUAUAAAUAUCAUAUUAGGUUUGAAUAGAAUGGGCUAAUCCAAACAAGUAGUAUGCCUACAUAAAACAAAUUAUCAUGAAUUAGGACCCACACGGUUUUAUUCAAAGUCAUACUUGGUUGGUGCCUUAAAUUCCACUUGUAGACUCCUCCUCCACACCACUAAUGUAAGGAGUGGAGCCCAAACAAUUUAUGGUUGAUGACUUAGAAUGAAAAAAAAAAGGUCAAAUAUUAAAAUUAUACCUUAUUUAAGGUCUUGGUAUGAAUUCAAAAGAAUGACAGUGCCUUAUAGUAAUACUAUUUUUUUUAAUUUGAAUGAAAUAAUUUUCAUUUUUAUUUUAUUUUUGUUAUUAUUAUUUUUAUAAUAAAUCAAUUAAGAUAAUUGGAGAUAAAUUCCUUAUUAUAUUUUAUUUAUUUGUCCAGGAUAUUACAUUAAAUCCUUCUUCACAUAACUUUUUUAAGCAGACAGUUGGAAGAAAAUGAGAUAAUAAUGUUGUUUUUUUUUCGUUUUUUUUUAAAGAGGACAAUUAUAUACUAGUUCAUACAAAAACCAAGAGUGAAAAUUGGUUAAGAUAUAUAAUUUAGUGGAUGAAAGGAAAAAUGAAUGAGAUAAAAAUAGAUAAAUCAAAACAUAUAAAUUUCUCAAAAUAUUACAGCGCUUGUACUAGCAAAAUAUUAAGGCAUGGUAAUGGAGGAAAAAAACAAUAAAGGAAAAAAGAGAAAAAUAAUAAUAAAGUCCAAAGAGGAUAAGGUAGGAAAGGUAAAAGAUGUUGGCUUCCAUAGAAAAAGGUAUAUAAGAUAUUAACUUUUAAGUUUACAUGUUCUCAAAAAACAUGUCUUUGCUAAUUUUUCAUUCUAUUUGGUUUCCUUUCUUUUCCUUUCUAUAGGUAAUAAAUAACUUGAACUUUAAAAAUGGAGGAUGGGACCAUAAUAGAGUUAAUAUGAAAAGGAUCUUGUGAUUUUUUUUUUUCGUGAGUCACUUUCUUGACUCAUAGAAGUCAAAGUCAAGUGACAUGUCUCAUCAAAUCAUUUAUUUUGAGUUACAUGUAUAUAAUCAAUUUGAAGAAAUUAGCAUCACCUUGAUUUAUUUAUGAUAUAAUUGGGGGAGUUUGAGAUGUAGAUUAUAAUGGUCAUAAAGGUUAUAACAUAAAUUGAAGUUAUGUUUGUUUGUAGGGCUAAAAAGUGAGAUAUAAUUUUAAAAUUAUAUAUUUGCAUAUUUGGAUAUAGGUAGGACAAGAGAAGGGUGUAAAUAAGUUACUGGUCUAGCAUUUUUAAUCUCCUGUACAUUUAAAAAUCGACUUGUCUAAUAAAUUAAUAUAUUGAUGAAUUUUUCAAAUAAAAAAAUGGUAAUUGGAUUAAGAUUUUUUUCCUUCUAAUAAAGCCAAAUGUACAUAUUGUUUUUUCUUAAAUAUUAGUAAAGAAAAAAUGUUUUGUUGAUGAAAUUUUAAAAGGUUUGUUUGUUCUUUUUUUUUAUUUAAAAAAAAUUGUUUUAUUUAAGCCAAGUUUCUUUCAUUUUAUUUUCUUUUGUAAUGACUUUAAUUUUUUUAAUCAUUUUUUAAUAUGCAUGAUGUUGGGACAUCUAUCAUAAUUACCUAAUAAAAGAUUUUUUUUUUCGAUUGUUCGGAACAAGUUUUAGGAUUUGAUGUAAAGAAUUGGGCUAAGAUUGGAACAAGAGUAACUUAUACUAAACUCUUCUUGUUGUAUUUUGAUUUAUUAUUAAAUUUUAUCUGUGUUACAAACUAUUAAUUAGCCGUGUCACUUUCUUGACUCAUAGAAGUCAAAGUCAAGAAAGUCAUUUAUUUUGAACCACAUUUCACGUAAUCAAUUUUAAAAAUUAUAAUCAGCACUUUAAUCCAUUUAUGACUUAAUUAAGGGGUUUUAGAAAUCGUAUGAGUAUGUAGCUUUAAUUUGUUAAUUCUUGGAAUGUGGAAUUUUACCUUUUAUAAUAAUUUUGUUUCUGAAAUUUAUUUAUUAAUUUUUAAAAAGACUAAUAAGAAAUCUUUCUUUUUGCUUUCUUUGUUAUGAAGGCCAGUGUGCCCUGAAACCAAGUGCUCUGGUUUCAUUUCUCUUAUUUUUAAAAUUUCAUUUUUGUACUUCAAAUCUACAGGAUGUAUUUUGAUUUUAUUUCUUUUUCUUUUUUAAUUUUUACAGUCCCAAUCUAUACCAGUGCUGAUAAAAUAUAAUAAUUAAAACUCUAAUGAGCUGGAAACUGUAACAAGAAAGUCUUCCUUGAUUGCUCCUGUUUAAGCUGGAAAUUUCCGAGAGACCUUUCUUUAGAUUGUUGAAGUUAUUUUAGUAAAUUACGAAAGUCAUUAAACCUCACUUAAAUUCNNNNNNNNNNNNNNNNNNNNNNNNNNNNNNNNNNNNNNNNNNNNNNNNNNNNNNNNNNNNNNNNNNNNNNNNNNNNNNNNNNNNNNNNNNNNNNNNNNNNNNNNNNNNNNNNNNNNNNNNNNNNNNNNNNNNNNNNNNNNNNNNNNNNNNNNNNNNNNNNNNNNNNNNNNNNNNNNNNNNNNNNNNNNNNNNNNNNNNNNNNNNNNNNNNNNNNNNNNNNNNNNNNNNNNNNNNNNNNNNNNNNNNNNNNNNNNNNNNNNNNNNNNNNNNNNNNNNNNNNNNNNNNNNNNNNNNNNNNNNNNNNNNNNNNNNNNNNNNNNNNNNNNNNNNNNNNNNNNNNNNNNNNNNNNNNNNNNNNNNNNNNNNNNNNNNNNNNNNNNNNNNNNNNNNNNNNNNNNNNNNNNNNNNNNNNNNNNNNNNNNNNNNNNNNNNNNNNNNNNNNNNNNNNNNNNNNNNNNNNNNNNNNNNNNNNNNNNNNNNNNNNNNNNNNNNNNNNNNNNNNNNNNNNNNNNNNNNNNNNNNNNNNNNNNNNNNNNNNNNNNNNNNNNNNNNNNNNNNNNNNNNNNNNNNNNNNNNNNNNNNNNNNNNNNNNNNNNNNNNNNNNNNNNNNNNNNNNNNNNNNNNNNNNNNNNNNNNNNNNNNNNNNNNNNNNNNNNNNNNNNNNNNNNNNNNNNNNNNNNNNNNNNNNNNNNNNNNNNNNNNNNNNNNNNNNNNNNNNNNNNNNNNNNNNNNNNNNNNNNNNNNNNNNNNNNNNNNNNNNNNNNNNNNNNNNNNNNNNNNNNNNNNNNNNNNNUACUUCGCUUGAUCUUUCAAACAACAUGCUCUCAUUGAUCACCUCUGCCAAUUCCAACUCCAUUUUACCAAGCAUUGUGAACCUAGACCUUUCAAACAAUAACAUUAGUGGAGUAUGGUCAUGGAAUAUGGGAAAGGAUACACUGCGGUACUUGAAUCUCUCUUAUAACAUCAUAAGUGGGUUUGAGACGCUUCCAUGGAAAAAUAUAGGAAUUCUAGAUCUUCAUUCCAACUUGUUGCAAGGACCACUUCCAACUCCUCCAAAUACUGCAUUUUUCUUUUCAGUAUCCCAUAACAAAUUGAGUGGAGAAAUCUCAUCAUUGAUUUGCAAAGUGAGUUCCAUGGGAAUUCUUGAUUUGUCUAAUAACAACUUGAGUGGCAUGCUUCCUCAUUGUUUGGGGAAUUUUAGCAAAGAUCUUUCUGUUUUGAAUUUACGAAGGAAUCGAUUUCAUGGCAUCAUUCCUCAAACAUUUUUAAAGGACAAUGCUAUCAGGAAUCUUGACUUCAACGAUAAUCAAUUGGAAGGCUCAGUACCUCGAUCUUUGAUCAUUUGUAGAAAACUUGAAGUUCUAGACCUUGGGAAUAAUAAGAUAAAUGAUACAUUUCCCCAUUGGUUGGGAACUCUUCCAGAGUUGCAAGUUCUUGUUUUGCGCUCUAAUAGUUUCCAUGGUCAUAUAGGGUGUUCCAAAAUCAAAUCCCCAUUCAUGAGCCUAAGAAUCAUUGAUCUCGCUCACAAUGAUUUUGAGGGUGACUUGCCUGAAAUGUAUUUGAGAAGUUUGAAAGCAACAAUGAAUGUAGAUGAACGCAACAUGACAAGAAAAUAUAUGGGGGACAGUUAUUAUCAAGAUUCCGUAAUGGUGACAAUCAAGGGGUUGGAGAUUGAAUUUGUGAAAAUCUUGAAUACAUUCACAACAAUUGAUUUAUCAAGCAAUAAAUUCCAAGGAGAGAUUCCAAAGUCCAUUGGAAAUCUUAAUUCACUUCGAGGGCUCAAUUUGUCUCAUAACAACCUUGCAGGACAUAUCCCAUCAUCUUUUGGGAAUUUGAAGUUGCUUGAAUCAUUAGACCUCUCUUCAAACAAGCUCAUUGGGAUAAUUCCUCAAGAAUUAACAAGUUUGACAUUUCUUGAAGUUUUGAAUCUUUCCCAAAACCAUCUUACUGGAUUUAUACCUCGAGGUAAUCAAUUUGACACUUUUGGAAAUGAUUCAUACAAUGAGAACUCAGGGUUGUGUGGAUUUCCAUUGUCAAAGAAAUGCAUAAUUGAUGAAACACCAGAGUCUUCAAAGGAAACGGAUGCAGAGUUUGAUGGUGGAUUUGAUUGGAAAAUCACAUUGAUGGGAUAUGGAUGUGGAUUGAUAAUUGGGUUAUCUCUUGGGUGUCUCAUUUUCUUAACUGGGAAACCUAAAUGGUUGACAACGAUGGUCGAAGAGAACAUUCACAAGAAGAUCACAAGGUCUAAAAAAGGUACUUGUAGAAGAGGAGCAAGAAGAAAGUAGCAUAUUCCAACUGCAUUGUAUUUUGUGCUACAUAUUAUAAAUGGAUUUUACAUUUGUUAGCAAAUGAUCUACUUGUUAUUAUAAAAAUGUAAUAUUGUUUGUAAAAUAAAAA